UAGGGAAUUUUGCGCAAUGGGCGAAAGCCUGACGCAGCAACACCGCGUGAGCGAUUAAGCCCCUUGGGGUGUAAAGCUCUGUCAGUGGGGACGAAUAUUGACGGUACCCACAAAGGAAGCAUCGGCUAACUACGUGCCAGCAGCCGCGGUAAGACGUAGGAUGCGAGCGUUGUCCGGAAUUAUUGGGCGUAAAGAGUUCGUAGGCGGCAUGUCAAGUCUGGUGUUAAAGCCCGAAGCUCAACUUCGGUUCGGCACUGGAUACUGGCAAGCUAGAGUGCAGUAGAGGCAAGGGGAAUUCCUAGUGUAGCGGUGAAAUGCGUAGAUAUUAGGAGGAACACCAGUGGCGUAAGCGCCUUGCUGGGCUGUAACUGACGCUGAGGAACGAAAGCCAGGGGAGCAAAUGGG
rnacentral:rRNA from 1 species